rnacentral:rRNA from 1 species
ACGGGUGCGUAACGCGUGGGAAUCUGCCCUUCGGUUGGGAAUAACUGAGAGAAAUUUCAGCUAAUACCUUAUAAUGUCUUCGGACCAAAGAUUUAUCGCCGAGGGAUGAGCCCGCGUAGGAUUAGGUAGUUGGUGGGGUAAUGGCCUACCAAGCCGACGAUCCUUAGCUGGUCUGAGAGGAUGAUCAGCCACACUGGGACUGAGACACGGCCCAGACUCCUACGGGAGGCAGCAGUGGGGAAUAUUGGACAAUGGGCGAAAGCCUGAUCCAGCAAUGCCGCGUGAGUGAUGAAGGCCUUAGGGUUGUAAAGCUCUUUUACCAGGGAUGAUAAUGACAGUACCUGGAGAAUAAGCUCCGGCUAACUCCGUGCCAGCAGCCGCGGUAAUACGGAGGGAGCUAGCGUUGUUCGGAAUUACUGGGCGUAAAGCGCGCGUAGGCGGUUACUCAAGUCAGAGGUGAAAGCCCGGGGCUCAACCCCGGAACUGCCUUUGAAACUAGGUAACUAGAAUCUUGGAGAGGUCAGUGGAAUUCCGAGUGUAGAGGUGAAAUUCGUAGA